UACGGAGGGUGCAAGCGUUGUCCGGAAUUAUUGGGCGUAAAGAGCUCGUAGGCGGUCUGUCGCGUCGGCUGUGAAAACCCGGAGCUCAACUCCGGGCCUGCAGUCGAUACGGGCAGACUGGAGUUCGGCAGGGGAGACUGGAAUUCCUGGUGUAGCGGUGAAAUGCGCAGAUAUCAGGAGGAACACCCGUGGCGAAGGCGGCUCUCUGGAACGCAACUGACGCUGAGACGCGAAAGCGUGGGGAGCAAACAGG
rnacentral:rRNA from 1 species